GAUGAAUGCUGGCGGCGUGCCUAAUACAUGCAAGUCGAGCGGUAAGGCCCUUCGGGGUACACGAGCGGCGGACGGCUGAGUAACGCGUGGGAACAUGCCCCAAAGUGAGGGAUAACGCACCGAAAGGUGUGCUAAUACCGCAUAUGGUCUUCGGAUUAAAGGAUUUAUCCGCUUUGGGAGUGGCCCGCGUACGAUUAGAUUGUUGGUGAGGUAACGGCUCACCAAGUCGACGAUCGUUAACUGGUCUGAGAGGAUGAUCAGUCAGACUGGAACUGAGACACGGUCCAGACUCCUACGGGAGGCAGCAGUAAGGAAUCUUCCACAAUGGGCGAAAGCCUGAUGGAGCAACGCCGCGUGCAGGAUGAAGGCCCUCGGGUCGUAAACUGCUUUUAUGAGUGAAGAAUAUGACGGUAACUCAUGAAUAAGCACCGGCUAACUACGUGCCAG
rnacentral:rRNA from 1 species